CCUACGGGUGGCUGCAGUGGGGAAUAUUGCACAAUGGGCGAAAGCCUGAUGCAGCAACGCCGCGUGAAGGAAGACGGUUCUCGGAUUGGUAACUUCCAUCUAUAGGGGAGCAAGAACUGACGGUACCUAAAUAAGAAGCCCCGGCUAACUACGUGCCAGCAGCCGCGGCAAUACGAAGGGGGCAAGCGUUAUCCGGAAUUACUGGGUGUAAAGGGUGAGUAGGCGGCAAGGUAAGCGAUAUGUGAAAGCCUUAAGCUGAACUUAAGGAUUGCAUAACGAACUAUCUAGCUAGAGUACAGGAGAGGAAAGCGGAAUGCGUGGUGUAGCGGUGAAAUGCGUAGAGAUCAGGAAGAACACCGGUGGCGAAGGCAGCUUUCUGGACUGAAACUGACGCUGAGGCACGAAAGCGUGGGGAGCGAACAGGAUUAGAUACCCGGGUAGUC
rnacentral:rRNA from 1 species